rnacentral:misc_RNA from 1 species
UCAAACGCUUCCGACAAUCCGUCCUCGCCGCCGCCACCUCCGGCAAGCUGACGGAGGAGUGGCGGGAGGAGGCCAAGAUAUCCCAUCCAUGGGACCGAACUACGAUCAGCACUCUACUCACCGACAUUCGGUACGGUACCGCUAAGAAGUGCCGUUACGAACCUAAGGGCACCUCUGUGCUUCGAAUCCCCAACGUGCUCGACGGUCGCGUAAACCAUGAUGACAUGAAGUACGCGGAGUUCGAGACAACGGAACUCCGCAAGCUUGCUCUUGCUGCGGGCGACAUUCUGAUGAUCCGCUCGAACGGUAGCCUGGGAUUGGUCGGUCGAACGGCACUUGUGACAGAGCGAGAGAAGGACUUCCUCUACG